rnacentral:lncRNA from 1 species
AAGAGUAAAGUACUUCCGCUUCCUUAGGUGGAGCUGGAAAGGUGGAGGCGGAAGUGACUGAUCAAUUCAGGGGCGUGGGGUUCGUUUAGGUUUUGCCCUGUGUAUGACCUCGUUUGGAGCCAUGAAACCAGGUGGCUUUUCUACAAUAUAAAGAUGGAAAUGGGAAGAAGAUGUUCAUUGCAAAUUAAGGAAGCUCUUCCACGAGUUCACGAAUGGAAAUAACAUCAAGAGUUUUUCAUCUUCUUAGUGUGCAAGGUAUGGAUAUUCUGUGUGUGAACUUCAAGAGUAUCUAAGGGAGGCAAUAACAUGGUUGAUAAUAUACCAGAGACUACAAACUGUCUGUGCAUCCCAGAGGAACAGGAAGCUUGUGCAGGUGAAAAGACUGGAGGAGGAAGUAUGUUGAUGAUACCCAGGAAGCCCACCUUCCACUUCUUUGGUCAUCAGAAAUAAAUAUCAAGGAGUGCAAUUCCUGGAUUUAUGAUGUCUGAGGAAUAGUCUUAGUGGAUUAUCCCAAACUUGACACAUUUUUUGCAAAAUGCUAUACAAAAAGAAGAUACAUGCGAUUAUGACAAGAUUCUCCACUUGGUGUGACCAGUCUCAUACAACCCAAGGCUGUGUGUCCAAAGGCAACUGUACUGAUCUUGACAAUAAUCAAAAGGUAGCCAGGUGCAUCGGGGAAAGCACUGACAUUGGAGUCAGACAGACUGAAGUUCAUAUCUGAUUCUGCUAUAUGACAACGUGUGGGCUAUGUGGCUAACUUCUCAGAGCUUCAGUUUUCUCAAGGGCAAAAUGAAAAUAAUAGAAAUAAUAGAAUCCACCUCACAGGGCUGUGGUGAGAAUUGGAGAUGAAGCACAUACAGCAUAUUACAUCAACUAAACACAUGCUAAAAAUUAAAGGGGAUGAAAGAUACAUUGGUCCCUGCAGUGGGAAGUUUCCUUGACAAUGCAAUUAUUGAUUCCAGAAGGCUGAACAAAUGUUGACAGAGGAACACACUGUUUGCUUAUGUCUAAUCUUCCCAUCUGACUUAUAUAAAUGUCACAAAUGAAUCUCAGACAUGUGCCCAAUAUCAAAUAUCCAUACGAUGGCCCUGGAAAGAGGCAAUCUACAUUUAUGGCUGAUGAGAAGAUGGAUUUUUAGCUUGAAAGAAACUUAUUACUGGGGAGAGGAAGUAUAAAUGAAUGGAGAGAGCUAUGAAGAGGUUGAGAGAAUACAGCCAAGGCACAUGACAGAAUUGCUCUGUUGAAGUUUUGCAAGGUCAAAUGACUCACUUUGUCUAAUGGAACGGGAACGAACAAUUUUUUUGUGUCACGUUUGAACAGAUACCUUUGAGAAGUUUAUGAUUCUCCAAGUUCUCUUUCUCCUACUGUGGCACCUACUGACAAGAUAAAUGUGUAGAGGUUCCUGAGUCUAGGGGCACUGGAACCAGCUGACUGAUCUAUGGAAGUUCCCUUGGUCUCCAUUUGUUUAGAAAAGGGAUGAAGAAACUGAGGCCCACAGAAGGUGGGUGAUACCUGCAAAAUCACAAGCUUUCAUGGUGAAAGAAGAGGGCAAAACUCAACCCGUCUCUUUAGACUUGGGAAGAAUAUGAAAGGACCAGGAGGGACACCUUUCCUAAUAACCUAGCUGAUGGUUCACUUAUUGUAAGCACAUUCUCAAACAAGAGGCUGGAAAGCUGAAAAAUGACAUUCCCAGACUCCAUUGAAAUUAGAUUUCCAGAGAGUUGUCUCACUAAGCCCAAAUUUGUCUAACUGGCCUUAUUUCCCUGGAGUAUAUCCUGGAAGUUUCCAUUCAAGCCAAUUUAAGUUACUUUAAAUUAGGAAAGGCAGAAAACAAAAGCCCAAACCUUUGUAAAGGAGGAGGAUUUGCUACAUUGUUCUCAAUUCAUCACAGAAGAGGAUGAAACUGAGUGAUUACACUUGCUGGAGAGAAAAAAAGUCCUUCCCCCGCUCACCCCAAAUAAAGCAUUAACUUUAUGUUAAUCCAUGAA